rnacentral:rRNA from 1 species
GUAUUCUAAAAAAUAGUAAUAUUAAAAUUCACGAAAUCAAUUGAGCUAAUUUUUAUAGAAUUUUAGAACAUAUGUUUAACGUAGUAUAGUUAGGCUAAUAAUAAAAAUUAGGGGUGAAAGGCUAACCAAAAUUGAAUAUAUCUUGAUAAUAAGGAAAUAUAUUAAGUAUAUUAAGCAACCUAGAAAUGUUAAGGUUUAUAGGGGUUAUAAAUUGGGAUUUGAUUUUUUUUGGAUUUUAUAAAAAAUACCAAAUAUAUAUUUUUAAAAUUUCUUACUUAUAUUUUAUAUUUACUACUUAUUUAUAUUUGCUAAUUGACCCAGUAAUAAAUAAUGAAUACAUUAGUAUUAUUAUAGUUUAGUUCAAGGAACUCGGCAAAACCAUCAUCUCGACUGUUUAUCAAAAACAUAGUUUUAAGUUAACAUUUAAAAUUAAACCUGCUCAAUGUAAAGUUAAAUAGCCGCAGUACCUUGACUGUGCAAAGGUAGCAUAAUCAGUUGGCUUAUAAUUGAAGUCUGGAAUGAACGGGAAUUCGGGGUGAUACUGUCUUAGAUUAAUUAAAUAGAAAUUACUUAAUAAGUGAAAAUUCUUAUUAAAAAGUAAAUAGACGAGAAGACCCUAGAAAUUUUUACAAAAGAUAACUAAUUCUUUUUGUUGGGGCGACAAGAUAACAUAAAACUUAUCCGAAUUCUUUGGGAACUUUAUAAAUAGCGCAAAUAAAUUACUCUAGGGAUAACAGCAUAAUUUGUUAGAGUUUGUGACCUCGAUGUUGGACUAGGGAGUGUUUUACUUAAAAGGUAAAAUAAUUGGCUCUGUUCGAGCUUUCACCCUACAUGAUCUGAGUUCAGACCGG